CAGGCUGGAGUGGAAUGGCACAAUCUUGGCGCACUGCAACCUCCACCUCCCAGGUUCAAGUGAUUCUCCUGCCUCAACCUUCCAAGUAGCUGGAAUUACAGGCAUGUGCCACUACACCCAGGAUGGAGGGAUUUGCAAGUUGAUGGCAGAUGGAAGGCAUUAUUGAGGCAGAAAUGGAUGAAAAUCAAACCUGCUCUUGAUAUACACAGCUGAUCUGGGCACUGAGUGAAGUCUUAUUUCCUGUCUAUGAAAGCAGACACUUGAACCAAUCACUCCUUUCUUCAUACAAUGUGUGUGCACAGAAUCAAAUUUGCUGAAAUCUGGAAUUUGGGACUUAAGUUCUGAUUCUUUUUUAAUGUAAAUGGAAUGAAGGCAUUUGAAGAUUGAUGCAAGAAUAUACAUGUAGGAAUAAUUGCCUAAGUGGCCACAUUUGAUUUAACAUAGACAAAACCUUCUGCUUUGUAUUAUAUUAAAACAUUUACCACACAUUGCCUCAAGGAUUAAAAAUAAUAUAACUCCUGCC
rnacentral:lncRNA from 1 species